CAUGUCCUUUUGAAAAUAAUUUAAGGUCUAAUCUGCUCAAUGAGGAUUUAAAUAGCCGCGGUAUUUUGACCGUGCAAAGGUAGCAUAAUAAUUAGUUUCUUUAUUGGGAGCUGGAAUGAAUGAUUGGACGAGGGAAUAACUGUCUCUUUUUCAUUAAGUGAAAUUAACUUUUGAGUGAAAAGGCUUAAAUUUAUAAUAAAGACGAGAAGACCCUAUAGAGUUUAAUUAAUUAAUUUUUUGACUUUUAUAUUAGAAUUAAAUUUAGUUUUAUUUUUAAUUAAUUUGGUUGGGGUGAUUUAUGGACUUGUGAAACUCCUUUAGCUUAAAAUCAUUCAUUUAUGAAUUUUGAUUCUAUAUUUUAUAAUUUUAAAAUAAAUUACCUUAGGGAUAACAGCGUAAUUUUACUUUAGAGUUCUUAUUGAAAGUAAAGUUUGCGACCUCGAUGUUGGAUUAAAAUUAAUUGUUGGCGCAGUAGCUGAUAAAUUGAGUCUGUUCGACUUUUAAAAUUUUACAUGAUCUGAGU
rnacentral:rRNA from 1 species